GAUGAACGCUGGCGGCGUGCCUAAUACAUGCAAGUCGAGCGAACACACGAGGAGCUUUCUCCUCUGACGUUAGCGGCGGACGGGUGAGUAACACGUGGAUAACCUACCUAUAAGACUGGGAUAACUUCGGGAAACCGGAGCUAAUACCGGAUAAUAUAUUGAACCGCAUGGUUCAAUAGUGAAAGACGGUUUUGCUGUCACUUAUAGAUGGAUCCGCGCCGCAUUAGCUAGUUGGUAAGGUAACGGCUUACCAAGGCAACGAUGCGUAGCCGACCUGAGAGGGUGAUCGGCCACACUGGAACUGAGACACGGUCCAGACUCCUACGGGAGGCAGCAGUAGGGAAUCUUCCGCAAUGGGCGAAAGCUUGACGGAGCAACGCCGCGUGAGUGAUGAAGGUCUUCGGAUCGUAAAACUCUGUUAUUAGGGAAGAACAAGUGUGUAAUUAACUAUGCACGUCUUGACGGUACCUAAUCAGAAAGCCACGGCUAACUACGUG
rnacentral:rRNA from 1 species